UGGGGGAUAUUGCACAAUGGGCGAAAGCCUGAUGCAGCGACGCCGCGUGGGGGAUGAAGGCCUUCGGGUUGUACACUUCUUUUGCUCUGAACAAGGCAUGCCUUUGGGGUGUGUUGAGUGUAGGGGUUGAUUAGCGCCGGCUAACUACGUGCCAGCAGCCGCGGUAAUACGUAGGGCGCGAGCGUUGUCCGGAAUUAUUGGGCGUAAAGGGCUUGUAGGUGGCUGGUUGCGUCUGUCGUGAAAGCUCAUGGCUUAACUGUGGGUAUGCGGUGGGUACGGGCUGGCUUGAGUGCAGUAGGGGAGGCUGGAAUUCCUGGUGUAGCGGUGGAAUGCGCAGAUAUCAGGAGGAAUACCGGUGGCGAAGGAGGGUCUCUGGGCUGUUACUGACGCUGAGGAGCGAAAGCGUGGGGAGCGAACAGG
rnacentral:rRNA from 1 species